rnacentral:tRNA from 1 species
CCGGUGGUAGCUCAGCAAGGUUAGAGCGCUCAGACAACUGAGAAAACGCGGGUUCAAUUCCCGCCCCCGUA